rnacentral:lncRNA from 1 species
UGAAGAUAUUCCAGAACGAGGCCCUGGGGAAAUCUAACGGUCCUGGUCAGUUAGAAGAGGAGAGGCUAAGAAGGAAAUGAGAAGAGUGAAAUAAGAAGUCCAGGAUAGUGAGUUAUCCUGGAGACAAAAGAAGAAAAUGUUUCCUUGAACUUGCUUGUCAAAUGCCUCUUUAAAAAGAAAGUGAAGAUAACUGCAAGUCAGCUGGAAGUGCUGCCAAGAUAUGACCUCCAGGAAGGCCCAGAAGACAAGUGAUAUUGUGUGGACUGCUACAGCGCAAUGUCUAACUGAUGCAAAAUGAAGAAUCAAUUUGAAAUUAAGAUGAGUAAAGGCAUCCAGCACUUACAGCAAAAAACAUUGUCAUCAGGCCCUGGGGAGAUGAGGACACCUCCCUUCCCUUCUCAGGCUCCCUUUCCCUGUCAGACUCUAGCUCUCAAAGGCUGUCAUCCUCCAAGGGUAUUCCCUACGUACUGCAUAGCAUCUCUGUUACCCUUUGAAUUCAACAGUAUUCAUCUCCUCCAACAUUCAUUCAUUCCUUUAGUCAAAAGUCAGUUGUCAAACACAAGGCACAAGUGCACAUUUAAGGAAUUCAUGGCCAAUAUUUGUCAUGUCAUUUCAUGAAUUGUCUGAGAAACAUAAAACAUACAAUGAGGAUACUGAUCCAAGAUACAUGGCACACAAUUAAAUUGCGAAAAACAUGACUCUGAGUCCAAAAGUUCUUAUUUUUUCACAGUCUUCAGAGUAUUGUAUAGACCCCUUGAAAAAUAAAUUUGCAGAGUGUGAAUGUUAAUUACUGUCACCUUCAGAAAAGAGAUUUUACACAUGUAUAAAAGAGAAAUAGUGACUAUUCUAGAUUAUAGAGCACAGAAAGAAUUCUCAAACUAGUAUAACCCUAUUUCUCUAUAUCACAAAGACAUCUUGUAGGCAUGUUCCUCUGAAGGACUUGAGAAUUAUGCUUUUUUUCCUCCUUGUCUCUCUAAAAGCAAAAAGCACAGUAAUCUCGCUGAAGUAUAAUCAAAACAGAGCCUGAUGUGAAACCAGAGCCUUGAGUUUUCAUCCUGCAUUUGUUACUUAAAAGCUGACAUAAGAAAAAUUAUUUAACUUCUCUUAACCUCAGUUUCUUAUCUAUAAAAUGGGAUUAUAAAAUGUAUCUCACAAGGUAGUUAUGAGGAUUAAAGGAAAUGAAAAAAUGCUUAUUUGGUUUUGAA